CUUGACCCAUGAAGACACACAUAAAAUAAAGUUCCUCAAAGAGGGGGCCGCUAGGCUUUUAUACAUAUAAGCACAGAAAACCGAGAAAAAGGGAGAGCAGCCAAUUGAUAUCUCUCAUAAAAAAUUGAGGCAUACUCGCAUGGAAAUCGAAGCAAGAAAUAAUCCUUUUUUCUUUUGUCGAAUUUGGUGGCUACUUAAUUAUUUUUGGAGAGAGAUAUACAACCAACACAGAGAAAAAGAGAGUUUUGGAGAGAGAAGUCCUUUGGACAGUGAGAGAAGUAAAUUGAGGCAGCCAACACUUUCUGCAGAGAAAAGAGAUUGACACGGACAGGAGUUUCUUUUUGUUUUCUGCAAUUAAUAGAGAGCUACAGGGUUUUUUUUUAUAUACUUUUACACGCACGAAAAAUCGGGAAAAAGGCAAUAGACGGCUGAAGCGAAAUUGGA
rnacentral:lncRNA from 1 species